CGGGAACUUCCUCCCCUGCAGAGACCACCUCGCUCCCGGGACUCGCCAGCGAGGGAUGCCGCCGGCCGCCGGGGGCCUUCUCCAGGACCAGGAGAGAAAUCCUCUCUCCGCUUCACGACGCGGCCACUCCCACCCCUGAGACGCCCACCUGGCGGACUCUGAGGGAGGAUUCGGCUGCGUCUAAUACCACCUCCACCCCUCAUCCCUCACAAUGCGCGGAAAACCACAGGCGGCUGUGCGCGCAGCGUCGGCUCAGCCACCGCAGCUCCUCCCCUGGGAUGAAAAAGCACUCUGACGUCUUGAAAGCUGGCAGCUCUCUGUUUGGAAAAUCUCUGCCCAGUGAAAAAAUGUACCGACAAGAUUACUAAGUAACACAGUCUUCUGGGAAUGCCUUAUCAAUGCCAGCUAUUUGAAGAGCACCCAAAGUCAAACUAGUGCUCCGCGCUGGCAGUCUGGAAAAGGCAGAUGUAUAUGAGAAAACUGAGCUGUAGAAAGGUUGCCUGACUUGUCUAAGAUAACACAGCUGGGAAGUUGAGGAGGCAGGUCUGACUGGUAUAAAAAACUCCAGCCCAGUGACUUCCAUACUACAAAAUGGACAAAAGAG
rnacentral:lncRNA from 1 species